rnacentral:sRNA from 1 species
CGGUACCAGUUGGUGUGGAACGUAUGUGGAAUGUGUUACGUGAUCUUUUUGCAAAUCAAUCUCAUUUAACUCAUAGAGACUCUGCUUGAACUUAACCCAUGGCAGACCGAAACAAGAAGCCGCAAAAGUGCUAAUAGCCAGGGCUCAAGAAUCAGAAAGUGGACAGACAAAUGUCUACGGCUAUGUCUGGAUAUGCAAAUUUUCAGACCAAACUGCAUUAUGCAUUAAAUGGCAACCCACAAGCACAGCGAGAAUUUAUAGCAAA